AUUGAACGCUGGCGGCAGGCUUAACACAUGCAAGUCGAGCGGAGAUGAGGUGCUUGCACCUUAUCUUAGCGGCGGACGGGUGAGUAAUGCUUAGGAAUCUGCCUAUUAGUGGGGGACAACAUUCCGAAAGGAAUGCUAAUACCGCAUACGUCCUACGGGAGAAAGCAGGGGAUCUUCGGACCUUGCGCUAAUAGAUGAGCCUAGUCGGAUUAGCUAGUUGGUGGGUAAAGGCCUACCAAGGCGACGAUCUGUAGCGGGUCUGAGAGGAUGAUCCGCCACACCGGGACUGAGACACGGCCCCGACUCCUACGGGAGGCAGCAGUGGGGAAUAUUGGACAAUGGGGGGAACCCUGAUCCAGCCAUGCCGCGUGUGUGAAGAAGGCCUUAUGGUUGUAAAGCACUUUAAGCGAGGAGGAGGCUACUGAGACUAAUACUCUCGGAUAGUGGACGUUACUCGCAGAAUAAGCACCGGCUAACUCUGUGCCAGCCGCCGCCGCGGUAA
rnacentral:rRNA from 1 species